GGACCCAGGUGCACGCUAACUAGAAGGUGGUGUGAACCUCACAACAUACAUAUAAGUGGUACAAAGUAAGCAGGUGCUCUGGGAGAAGCUGAGGGAAAUCCUUUCCCACACCUAGUCCUUUCACUUGGGAGAUAAUUUUGUUUGAUUCUAAAGAGUACUAUGACUUCAGGGCCCAAAGAGGACAGCUCAUUGGAAAUAGUUCAGAGGAGAUCCCAACACAAACUCAUCAUUCAUAAUGGAGAAGCAUCCACUGCACACGCCUACUACUACCAGACUAGUUUUUUCAUCUCUGAAAAAAGGGAACAGAACACUACGGUCUAGAGAGAUGUGUCACAAGCACUUCAUCCAAGAUGCAACAGCUCAUAGACUGCAAAGAAAGGCACAUACUUUGUGAAGCAACUGGCAAUUAAAUAUUUCAACUGGAUAGUCAAUUCAAGCAUUUUAACUUGAAAGACUGCCAAGAUAGAAGAAUCACUGGAACUCUCAAAUAGCGAUUUCACUAACUUUGUGAUUGAUUUAGGGUCCACGGCAUCCUUCUGUAUAUGCUAUUCUAAUUCGUAAUAUCAGUAACUGAACUUGUCAGAUGCAGCCAGAUUAUUCUCAUCAGUUAAAAAAUCCGAAAUCCAGAACAAAAGGUCCGUUUAUUUUUUACUAAUGACUAGUCAUACCUUUUGCCUACUGCCACUUAGAAGUUUUUUCCAAAUGAUUUUGACACUUCGGUUAUGGGGAAAAUUUUCCUAAAAAACAGAUUUCUUCCUUUUACUUAUGUCUGAUAAAAGCAUAUAUAUCUCAUACAUCAAAUAUAUGCCACACCCGUAUAGGUACAUCCACACACACAUGUAUCCAUACUAUAGACACAACCACACUGUUUUGCUCCCUUAGCAGAAACAAAUAGAUAUGGUAAGUUUUCUGUAUUAUCGUUUGAGUACGCUUUCUACAGAAUUCAGGAGAAGAACAAAGAUGGAUAUAUUCUUUUGCAUCUAUGUCUCUUCAUGUGAGCCCAGUUUGACAGGCCAUUUUCAGCAGAUAAAGCAUAAUAAACACAGAGAUCAGUCAAAACUUCCCUUCAGAUUUUAAGCCCCUUGGGGGGAAAGUGAGUUACUUAGUUGAGCUUGGGCUUCUGUUUUCACGUAAUCUUCUAAAGCAAGAGGCCAGUUUCCUGAAAAUAGAUCUGCAUGCAGAGACUGGCUACCAAAUUAACAUAGGGGAAAAAAAUCUCAUUGUUCGCUAGCAGGGAAACGAAAAAAAAAACCAGUUGGUAAAUUAAUAGGGGCUCAUUCAUUCUCCUUCCAGGACAUGGACAAGGAAACAGGAUGGCAGCAGCUGCUAUCUGCUGGCUCUGCUGAGUCUUUCCGUGACAUUCAACCGCGAGGAAAGAUUUUACUCAGUGAACAUUACCAUGUUUCCAUUCCUCCUUAUCCUCCAGCUCCAACAAUCAACCUGACUGUUCUGCAUUUUUUAGGCCAGGAUACUGUAGGGCUGAAUUUCUGUAACUCAGGGUAUUUCUAUUUUAAUCAUCAACAAUUUUUAGGUAUUGCAUCAUUUGAAAGGAAUGUUAUUUUUUAACAACUCUUUCUCACACAGAGAACACACUUAAAAUUGCAAAACUCUCCAUCCCCAGCAUUAAAAUCAUCACCUUUCAGGAACAUCCUUCCUAAUUGUCUCUCAGCCCACAAGCCAUGAGAAUGUGUUUCCAUUUCAAAAUCCAGUCUUCACUGUCGUACUUUAUAUGAUGCUUUUUGAGCAGCUUGCCCUUCUUUGGAUUUUUUUCUUCCAAAUCUGAUAGGAAAGUUGGAGCCUGAAAUGUGAAUCCAUAAACCACACCAGUAACUCUCGUGUGGCAAAAGCGGAACAGUGGAAAUACAUUGUUUUCAUUGAAGUGAAAUGCCAGUCUGUUCUUGCAUGAGCGAACUGGAUUAAGAUAACUUCCCUUGGGGAUUCAGGUUCACAAGGAGACUGUAUCUGACUACAAGACUUCUUUAAGAACGUAGUUUCAAAAUGCUACGGACAUCAGGUUACAACAGUCCUGACUGGAGAAAGUAAACCAGAAUAGAGAUGCAACUGUUACUGCUAUGGAGCUGAUCACCUAGUUGUAAGUCCUUCUCUCUCAACUCACAUGCCUUUAGUGAAAGCUUUCCUGCAGGAAGCAGAUGAACAAGGAGCGCAAGACCCGGAGCCGCGCUUCUGAGUUGAAGUCCUGGCUAUGCUAUUUACUAGCUAUGUGAUCCUGGGCAAUCAUUUAAUUUUUCUGAGGUUGAUUAUCCUGAUCUAGAGAAUGGAGACAUAAAUUCCUAGACUGCAGUGGUUGUUAGGGUUAUACGUAAUUCAGUAUAUGGAAACAUUCUAUAAUUUUUAAAGCACUACACAAACAUUUAUUUUAUUAGAUGGAUCAGCACCCCGGAGCGCCUUUUCAGGGUGAAGCACAAAAUGAACUGAGAAAUGGACGGGAAGGUACUCUGAAAAAUAGGGACAGCUUCCAUUUUUGGAACACUCUGCGCCAGAUACUGCUGCAUGCUUUAAUAUGCAUUUUCUCAACGUUCAAAACCACCUGACAAGGUUGGUGGUGUCAUCUCCAUUUCCCAGGUGAGGGAACAGAGAUUUAGAACGGGGACAUGACUUGCCCUUGGUCACAAAGCUUGUGGAGGGCAAGACCAGGGUGCAAAGCGGGAUUUGCCCGAAUCCAGGCCCAGGCUUUUAGCCGUGAGUCUCUGCUGGCUCAGUGCUUUAUAGAGACUGUAACGGCUAUUCUCCACGUGGCCGGAUGGAACUUUGAAUGUAAACUGGCUCCGAUUUCAGGGUUUCACCAAUAAGCACAUGAGCAAACCAUUAAAACCAGCUUUGGUUCUGAUCAGCAGAAGCAGCACCCAACAACCCACCAAGAGGACGGCGACAACUUGGAAAUUAGUAGGAUUUGGCUAGCACUGAACGGUCGGAGACCUGGACGCUCAGCCACACACGUGAUUCGCAGUGUGCCCUUAAGCAAGCCACAUCUUCUCUAAAGUUUGGCUUCCUGCUAAUCUAAAGGAGGCUCAAGUCAAAAGAGCAUAGUGACUAGCCCAACACUCAUUCACAUAAUUAUGACAGCGCUAAAAUAAUGUCUCUAAAAUACAGCCCCGCAGUUUAUCCUUCUAAGUUCCCCGUUUCUAAGAGGCAGUAUGGCGACAUGGUCACAUGUAGACUUCUGGAGGCAGAAUGCAAGCUCUGCAAUUCGCUCCCUGCACAACCCUGGGUAACUUAGGUUAACUCUCAGUGUCUCAGUCUCCUCAGCUGUUUAAAAUAAGGAUGAUGAUAGUACCCACCACACCUAAGGUUGCUGUGACAAUUAAAUAAAUCAGGUACAGCAAUUCGAACUAGCAAUGGCACAACGUAAAUACUCAAUAAAUGAUAGCCACGAUGACAGAAAUAAUAAAUCAUUUUUCCCUUAGCACAUUAUAAGCAGAGAGGUGGCUAAGAGAUCUGCCACAGCUUGUAAAUGGAAAAAGCUCACAGAUCCUGCUUCCGUCCAUUUCAUCGUACAUGGAUACAUGUCAGCCCAGCUGACUGCAGAGGAAUCCGACAAAUACUAAAAUCGGAAGACGCCCUCAGAUCUACAAAUGGCAUCUCCAACUGAAUUAACUGAAAUGAGUAUCUUUAAUAUUUUUUACCUUCUUCUCCUCUUCCCAUUCUAAGACCUGAAUACGGGAUCUGUACCCUUCCUUUUAAGCAGGAGUUCACGUUAUAGACUUUUCCCACUGCUAAGUUAGGAGUUGAGGGUUUAAGAGAAAAGGAAUAGAGAUCAACCCUGAUGACCAUUUAAAAAAAUUUAUGGGGAAUCAGCCAGGAACAAAAUAAAACGAAACUCGCUUGAGGUUGAUUUUACGAGCACAAGCCUCUACUUACACAGGAGUGUGAGAGCAACCUGUUGACAGAUAUUUUCCAGGCACAGAAAUCCUCAGGAGGCAACCGCUCAGAAGAUCAGCACCUGGAAUUUAAAUGACAGUAUGAGCCCUUAGGAAAUCUCCCAGAGCAACAGAGGAAGUAAAAGUCAGUUGUUUUCUCUUGUUCCUCCGCCAACGUCAUAAAGAGAUGAAUUUUUAAAAACAAGAAAUAAGGAGCACCUUCUCCUUCCUGCUGCAUAGGUUGGGAAAGUUCCUGCACAGUGAGCGGUGGACAUGCUCCUCACUGGUGCGUCCACCGACACGAGGCUGUGCGUUUCGCAGAUCAUUAAGGUUUGCUCAGCAAGAGGUGAAGCUCAAUGGGAAUGGGGAAAGCCACAGCAUUCGGCAAACAAGACCUUUGGGAAGUGAGACUGCGAUGGCUGUGCGAUAACACAGGAUGCAGAAGGUAAGAGCGAGCGAGUGAGCUCAUGAAGGCAUUUCUUCCCGCACACGCGUGCACACACACACACAAUGGGAAAGUUAACUGAGAUCAGGGAUGGCAGGAGACGACAAAAAACAAAAUUUAUGAAGCGCAGAAGAAACAGAUGUUGAAUAUCUAGCAUGUGGGAAGCACUGUGCUGGAGACGCAACGUGGGCCACACGGGCACCAGUCCUCAUGGAGUCUGCAAGCCGGCAGGGGGUGCAGACAAAUAAAUGGCAGUUAUUACCACAAUGGGAUAGAUAUUAGGAUGGGGAAACUUCAGGGGCCAUGGCCCCACAGGUGAGGCACCAGGCUUUGGGCUGAGGAUAAGCUUUCCCAAGGGCCUCCUAGUCUCCAUCUCCACAGAGGUAUGGGCAGGAAGACAUGGGGGUGAUCAGCUCCUUCUGGGUUUCCCAGACAGGCUGGGAGCCCCUUCUCAGGACGCCUGAAUAUUCGAAUAGGGUAUACAUGUACCCAUGUGUCUGGAAUGCAGUUCUGGCUGGAGACGGAGAGAACAGAUGAAAUGAUGCCCAUAAGAUGCCCUCCAGCUCAGCACGAGUCCUAUUCGCAGACCCCAACUCCUUUAGAGGGCCAAAGGGGAUGACCAUGUCCCAGGACACUGAAUUGCACUCACACUGGAGGUGAAACACAGGCGUGACUUUCACACACACAGCUAAGACAUUCUCAUAUGACUAUCAGCGCUCAGGGAAGUUAGCAUGACUGACAGCGGACAGCAGGGGAGGCGGGGGUUCUCAAACCCGCUCCCCCAGUCCCCUCACCUCACACAGGAAGGCUAUCAAGAUGGCACCCGCCCCAAG
rnacentral:lncRNA from 1 species